AUGCUCGCUCGAUCCCCACUCCCUCCUUUCGCUCUCUCCCUCACGCAACGCACCCCGUGCCCGAUCCCCUCGAGCCUCCUCCCCGUGCGCGACGGCCCUGCAGACGCCCGCCUCCGUUCGCCGGUGCCCGUCGCCGCAGGAAUUUCCCUCGCACCACCGGCCUCUGCUUCCCUACUCCAGGCCGCGCCACCGCCUUCUACAAACCCGGUCUCCUCCUCGUCAUCGCCUCAUCGUCUGAGGACCGGCAUCGCCUCCAGCGCCCACAGGUUCUGCGCCAUGCCCCGCCUCCAGCCCUCGUCCACGACCGCGCUUGUCUUCGUCGCCACCAGCAGGAGCAUGAUCCCCAUGGCUGUCGCCGCCAUCCUUCCUACUCUGUUGGAGUUCCCCGCCGCCGGAUCAGGAGCUCCGCCUCCCUGCUUCGCCUUCGCCUGCCUGCCUCCUGCUUGCCUCCCCCUCCUCUGCUCCGCCUCCAUCGCACCGAGGCCCCGCCUCUGUUUCCGGCCGCUGCCAGCAAGCAGCUUCAUCGGAGCCACGUCCGCUGUGCCAAGCCCCUGCCUGCAUCGCCAAGUUCGCCGCUACUGA
rnacentral:rRNA from 1 species